GACGAACGCUGGCGGCGUGGCUAACACAUGCAAGUUGAGCGACGAACCAGGGCUUGCCCGGGGGCAAAGCAGCGAACGGGUGAGUAACACGUGGGUAAGCUACCCCGAUAAGCGGGACAACCCGAGGAAACUUGGGGUAAUACCGGAUGGGCUGAAUGGACUUCGGCUCAGUGCGUAAAGGAAGCUUCGGCCUCCGUAUCGGGAGGGGCCCGUGGCCGAUUAGCUAGUUGGUGGGGUAACGGCUCACCAAGGCCGCGAUGGGUAGCUGGUCUGAGAGGACGAUCAGCCACACUGGGACUGAGACACGGCCCAGACUCCUACGGGAGGCAGCAGCGGGGAAUCUUGCGCAAUGCGCGAAAGCGUGACGCAGCAACGCCGCGUGGGGGAAGAAGGCCUUCGGGUUGUAAACCCCUUUCAGGAGGGACGAAGGUUCGGCGGUUAAUAGCCGUCCGGACUGACGGCACCUCCACAAGAAGCCCCGGCUAACUACGUG
rnacentral:rRNA from 1 species